rnacentral:rRNA from 1 species
AUUGAACGCUGGCGGCAUGCCUUACACAUGCAAGUCGAACGGCAGCACGGGAGCAAUCCUGGUGGCGAGUGGCGAACGGGUGAGUAAUAUAUCGGAACGUGCCCAGUAGUGGGGGAUAACUGCUCGAAAGAGCAGCUAAUACCGCAUACGACCUGAGGGUGAAAGGGGGGGAUCGCAAGACCUCUCGCUAUUGGAGCGGCCGAUAUCAGAUUAGCUAGUUGGUGGGGUAAAGGCCUACCAAGGCAACGAUCUGUAGUUGGUCUGAGAGGACGACCAGCCACACUGGGACUGAGACACGGCCCAGACUCCUACGGGAGGCAGCAGUGGGGAAUUUUGGACAAUGGGGGAAACCCUGAUCCAGCCAUGCCGCGUGUGUGAAGAAGGCCUUAUGGUUGUAAAGCUCUUUCGGCAGGAACGAAACGGCGAGCUCUAACAUAGCUUGCUAAUGACGGUACCUGAAGAAGAAGCACCGGCUAACUACGUGCCAGCAGCCGCGGUAACAC